UGGAUCGAGGAUUCGUCCAAGUGAAGCAGAGGACAGUGGCGGACGGGUGAGUAACGCGUGAGGAACCUGCCUUUCAGAGGGGGACAACAGUUGGAAACGACUGCUAAUACCGCAUAAGCCCACGGGUCGGCAUCGAUCUGAGGGAAAAGGAGCAAUCCGCUUUGAGAUGGCCUCGCGUCCGAUUAGCUAGUUGGUGAGGUAACGGCCCACCAAGGCGACGAUCGGUAGCCGGACUGAGAGGGUGACCGGCCACAUUGGGACUGAGACACGGCCCAAACUCC
rnacentral:rRNA from 1 species